UUAAGUCGAAUUUUUCAUUCGGCGUGGGGCGAUCAAAAAGGAGAGGAGGCUAAGAAUCCCACAAGAUUCCUAUCUUGGAGGGUGGUGUGGUGGAUCAAAAAGGAGGGGAGGAGGAGAAAAAAGGGUGUGCAAAAUAUGAUGCUAGGUUGAUCAGGGAUGGAAAGAAAAGGGCUAUUAUGUUGAAGUCUAAAGUAACGGUGGGUACGUAUGCGAGGAAGGAAUUUAAAGCAAAUGAUUGUUUUUAAAAAGGAUUAUGUUUUAUAAUCUAACGCUGCUCAGGAUUGAUUAUGAUAUUAGAUAUUGUGAAAAUUUGGAUGCAGUGAAUCGAAAGAGGUUUCGGAGAAAUGAAGAUCUGUAUAUAAUGUGUUUAAAAACUGUAUAAAUAUUGUAUAUAAUAUGUAUCUGAAUAAUUAUUGCAGCUAAAUGUUGUAUAAGAUGUG
rnacentral:lncRNA from 1 species